UUCGAUAUGGAUGAAGUACCUAGCCUUGUUUCAUUGUUUCACUUUGUGAUGAAUUUAGCUAAUGGAUAAUUGUAAGUCAUUAAGCAUAUAUUUUGUAUUGAUUUAAAUGAUCAUAAUAUAUAUGCAAUUGUGUUUAAUGAAUUGAUGUGUAAAUGAAAAUGUAUGUGUAUGGAAUGAUGCCAUUGUUGAAUGUAUAAAGGCAGCAAAAUGCAUAAGGUAUUGGUCACGGCACUAAGUGUGCGGGUAUAAAUGGAGACGGUGACAAGAUUGGCACUAAGUGUGCGGGUAUAAAAUUGUACAGCACUAAGUGUGCGAGUUUGAUUCUAUAGCACUAAGUGUGCGAGCUGAAAAUAUAUAGCACUAAGUGUGCGGAUUCACUAUAUGCUCUUGUAUUACAAUUGGCACUGAGUGUGCGACAUUAUCGAGUUAAUCCCGGACAGCGAAUCGGGUCUCGUGGACUCGUAUUGUUGCGUGCUCGGAACCGUCGUUGAAGUCAUCACACCGGCUGAAAUAUUUUGGUAUUGUCUUCGUUGUUGAAGAACAUUUGGCAUGUAUAGGCUAUUAUAUUUUGUUGAACUGUGGGUUGUAAACUUUAAGCCAUGUGAAAAUGGCCUAUGUGGUCGUCGAGUGGGAUGCUAGAACCUAUAGCCACGAGUCUUAGAAACUUUAAUUUUGAUAAGGUGGCCAUAAUUUGUGUCA